rnacentral:rRNA from 1 species
AUUGAACGCUGGCGGCAGGCCUAACACAUGCAAGUCGAACGAGUGGCGGACGGGUGAGUAAUGUCUGGGAAACUGCCUGAUGGAGGGGGAUAACUACUGGAAACGGUAGCUAAUACCGCAUACCAUCAGAUGUGCCCAGAUGGGAUUAGCUUGUUGGUGGGGUAACGGCUCACCAAGGCGACGAUCCCUAGCUGGUCUGAGAUGAUGACCACCCAAACUGGAACUGACACACGGUCAAGACUCCUACGGCAUGCAGCAGUGGGGAAUAUUGCACAAUGGGCGCAAGCCAGAUGCAGCCAUGCAGCGUGUAAUAAGAAGGCCUUCGGGUUGUAAAGUAAUUUUAGCGGGGAUGCGUUACCCGCAGAAGAAGCACCGGCUAACUCCGUGCCAGCAGCCGCGGAAUAC